rnacentral:rRNA from 1 species
GUAUAGGGGAAAAAAAUUUUUCUUCAACUUAUUCUACAAACUUUAAAUAGGUCUAUAUUAUAAGAAUAAAAUUAAUUUUAUUUUUUAUUGAAAAGAAGAAUUUUGAAAAAACUCUUUGUGGGCCAUUCCUGGUAAGCAGGACUGGCGAUGUGGGAUGAACCAAACGUAAAAGUUAAAAGUGCCUAAAUUUUUAAUGCUCAUUCUAGAUACCAUAAAAGGUGUGGCUUGAUCUAAGACAGAAGGACGGUGGUCAUGGAAGUCGAAAUCCGCUAAGAAGUGUGUAAAAACUUACCUUUCGAAUUAAGUUGCCCUGAAAAUGGAUGGCGCUUAAGCAUUUAAAAAAUAUUUUAUAUAUCUUUACUUAGACUUUACUAUUAAAAUUUAACUUGAUUUUAAUAUGUAGGAG